rnacentral:rRNA from 1 species
AAAUUGUUGAAAGGGAAGCAUUUAUGACCAGACUUGCGCCGGGCAGCUCAUCAGGGGUUCUCCCCUGUGCACUCUGCCCGGCUCAGGCCAGCAUCGGUUCUCGUGGGAGGAUAAGAACAGUGGGAACGUGGCCCCCCUCCGGGGGGGGUGUUAUAGCCCAUUGUACGAUACUCUCGUGGGGACCGAGGUUCGCGCUCCGCAAGGAUGCUGGCGUAAUGGUCAUCAAUGACCCGUCUUGAAACACGGACCAAGGAGUCGUCCAUUAGAGCGAGCGUUUGGGUGUAAAACCCGCACGCGUAAUGAAAGUGAACGCAGGUGAGAGCUUCGGCGCAUCAUCGACCGAUCCUGAUGUCUUCGGAUGGAUUUGAGUAAGAGUUUUAACGGACGGACCCGAAAGACAGUGAACUAUGCUUGUAUAGGGUGAAGCCAGAGGAAACUCUGGUGGAGGCUCGCAGCGGUUCUGACGUGCAAAUCGAU